GACGAACGCUGGCGGCGUGCUUAACACAUGCAAGUCGAACGGAGUAUUCAGCAAUGGGUACUUAGUGGCGAACGGGUGAGUAACGCGUAGACAACCUGCCUUCUAGAUGGGGACAACACCGCGAAAGUGGUGCUAAUACCGAAUGUUGUAACGGAGAAGCAUUUUUUUGUUACUAAAGGUGGCCUCUAUUUAUAAGCUAUCACUAGAAGAGGGGUCUGCGUCUGAUUAGCUAGUUGGUGAGGUAACGGCUCACCAAGGCGACGAUCAGUAGCCGGUCUGAGAGGAUGAACGGCCACAUUGGGACUGAGACACGGCCCAAACUCCUACGGGAGGCAGCAGUGGGGAAUCUUCCGCAAUGGACGAAAGUCUGACGGAGCAACGCCGCGUGAGUGAAGAAGGUUUUCGGAUCGUAAAGCUCUGUCUUCAGGGGCGAACGUGAGAUAUAUGAAUAAUGUAUUUUAAUGACGGUACCUGAGGAGGAAGCCACGGCUAACUACGUG
rnacentral:rRNA from 1 species